rnacentral:rRNA from 1 species
CCUACGGGAGACUGCAGUGGGGAAUAUUGCGCAAUGGGCGAAAGCCUGACGCAGCGACGCCGCGUGAGGGAUGAAGGUCUUCGGAUCGUACACCUCUGUCAGCAGGGAAGAACGGUCACUGUGCUAAUCAGCAGUGAAUUGACGGUACCUGCAAAGGAAGCACCGGCUAACUCCGUGCCAGCAGCCGCGGUAAUACGGAGGGUGCGAGCGUUAAUCGGAAUUACUGGGCGUAAAGCGCUCGUAGGCGGUAUGUCAAGUCAAGGGUGAAAUCCCCGGGCUCAACGUGGGAACUGCCUUUGAAACUGGCAAACUGGAGUGGGUGAGAGGAUAGUGGAAUUCCAGGUGUAGGGGUGAAAGCCGUAGAGAUCUGGAGGAACAUCAGUGGCGAAGGCGACCAUCUGGCACAUAACUGACGCUGAGGAGCGAAAGCGUGGGUAGCAAACAGGAUUAGAUACCCGAGUAGUC